rnacentral:rRNA from 1 species
AUUGAACGCUGGCGGCAUGCCUUACACAUGCAAGUCGAACGGCAGCACGGACUUCGGUCUGGUGGCGAGUGGCGAACGGGUGAGUAAUGUAUCGGAACGUACCUUUCAGUGGGGGAUAACGUAGCGAAAGUUACGCUAAUACCGCAUAUUCUGUGAGCAGGAAAGCAGGGGAUCGCAAGACCUUGCGCUGAUUGAGCGGCCGAUAUCAGAUUAGCUAGUUGGUGGGGUAAAAGCCUACCAAGGCGACGAUCUGUAGCGGGUCUGAGAGGAUGAUCCGCCACACUGGAACUGAGACACGGUCCAGACUCCUACGGGAGGCAGCAGUGGGGAAUUUUGGACAAUGGGGGCAACCCUGAUCCAGCCAUGCCGCGUGAGUGAAGAAGGCCUUCGGGUUGUAAAGCUCUUUCAGCCGGGAAGAAAUCGCAUAGGCUAAUACCCUGUGUGGAUGACGGUACCGGAAUAAGAAGCACCGGCUAACUACGUG